AUUGAACGCUAGCGGGAUGCUUUACACAUGCAAGUCGAACGAGUGGCGGACGGGAGAGUAAUAUAUAGGAACGUGCGCAGGAGGGGGGGAUAACUACGCGAAAGAGUGGAUAAUACCGCAUAAUAGUGGAGCGGCAGAUAUGGGAUUAGCUAGUUGGUGGGGUAAAGUCUCACCAAGGCAACGAUCCGUAGCUGGUGUGAGAGGACGAACAGCCACACUGGGACUGAGACACGGCCCAGACUCCUACGGGAGGCAGCAGUGGGGAAUUUUGGACAAUGGGCGAAACCCUGAUCCAGCCAUCCCGCGUGUAUGAGAAGGCCGUCGGGUUGUAAAGUACUUUUGGCAGAGAAGCGUUAUCUGCAGAAUAAGCACCGGCUAACUACGUGCCAGCAGCCGCGGUAAUAC
rnacentral:rRNA from 1 species